GUGCUUUGCAGCACUUAUAUUAAAAGUGGAAUGAUACCAAGAAGAUUAGCAAGGCUCCUCUGCAAGGAUAAUAUGUAAAUUCAUGAAGCAUUUCAUAUUUUU
rnacentral:snRNA from 1 species